rnacentral:rRNA from 1 species
GACGAACGCUGGCGGCGUGCUUAACACAUGCAAGUCGAACGGUGAAGCGCCUUCCUUUUUGGUUGGUGUGGAUGAGUGGCGAACGGGUGAGUAACACGUGAGUAACCUGCCCCCUUCUUCUGGAUAACCGCAUGAAAGUGUGGCUAAUACGGGAUAUUCUGGGUCUGUCGCAUGAUGGGUCUGGGAAGGAUAUUGGUUCGGUGGGGGAUGGUCUCGCGGGCUAUCAGCUUGUUGGUGGGGUGAUGGCCUACCAAGGCGGGGGGGGGUCGCCGGCUUGGGCGGGUGGCCGGUCAGACUGGGUGUGGGGCACGGGUCAGACUCCGACGGGAGCCAGACGUGGAGAAUAGUGCGCAGUGGGGGAAAGCCCAAGGCGGCGGCGCGCCGUAAGGGAUAGCGGCCUUCGGGUGGUGAAGCUCUUCGGGCAGUGAAGCAGGUCCGCCUCGUUUGUAGGUGGGUUGACGGUAGCUGGAUAAGAAGCGCCGGCUAACUACGUG